ACUCACGCAGCAGACAGGAGAAAGAGGAAAAGCCGCAGGGCUAAUCGGAAAGCUAAUGAACGACGUGACGGCCAACAUCUUUCACUUCAGAAGAGUUUAGAGUUAGUGGAUUCUUUCCGGCGAGCCUGAAUUCAUUUCUCUGAGCUCCUAAUUGAAAUAUCUGGUAAGAAGAUGAGUGCUCGGAAGAAGACACCUUUCCAGAAGCAUAGGGAAGAGGAAGAGGCAAAGAAAAAGAGGGCAGAGGAUGAAACAGCUCGUCUGUAUCAAGAAUUUGUGGAGUCGUUUUCAGUGGAUAAUGCGCCAGGUUCCAAGGCAUUUGUUAGAGGGGGAACUAUCAAUCCGAAUGAUAAAGUGAAGACUGAUUCUGAAGGUGGAAAUUCUAAAGAUGAGGGUUCAGGUUUAAAGAAGGGGAGUAGGUAUGUGCCUUCUUUCUUGCCGCCUCCUAUGGCAACAAAGGGCAGAGAUUAUGAGAAGAAGAAGGAGGAUAAGCCGAGGGAAAAAGAGAAGGGCAAGUCUAGGAACAUCGACAAUUUCAUGGAGGAAUUGAAGCAUGAACAAGAAAUGAGGGAAAGGCGUAACCAAGACCGUGAACAGUGGCGUGAUCGUCAUACUGAAAAUUCUACUCCAUCUAGUCGGUUUGAUGAGCUGCCUGAUGACUUUGAUCCUAGUGGAAGGCCUGGAUCAUUUGAUGAUGGCGAUCCACAAACAACAAAUCUCUAUGUAGGAAACCUAUCACCUCAGGUUGAUGAGAAUUUUCUUUUGCGCACAUUUGGGAGAUUUGGCCCCAUUGCAAGUGUAAAGAUAAUGUGGCCAAGGACAGAAGAAGAAAGAAGGCGACAGAGGAAUUGUGGUUUUGUAGCUUUCAUGAAUAGAGCUGAUGCUCAGGCUGCAAAAGAUGAGAUGGAAGGAGUUAUUGUUUAUGAAUAUGAGUUGAAGAUUGGGUGGGGUAAAUCUGUCUCUCUGCCUUCUCAAGCGCUUCCUGCUCCCCCUCCAGGACAUAUGGCUAUCAGGAGUAAGGAGGGUGCAACUGUUAUCUUAUCUGGUCCAUCAGGUCCUCCGGUUACUACUGUUUCAGGCCAGAACUCUGAGUUGGUUCUCACUCCAAAUGUACCAGAUAUUAUGGUUGUUCCACCCGAGGAUGAUCACCUUCGCCACGUUAUUGAUACAAUGGCUCUGUAUGUUCUUGAUGGAGGUUGUGCUUUUGAACAAGCCAUAAUGGAGCGAGGCCGUGGAAAUCCUCUCUUCAGUUUCUUGUUUGAGCUUGGCUCAAAGGAGCAUACUUACUACGUUUGGAGGCUUUAUUCUUUUGCUCAGGGAGAUACUCUUCAACGUUGGCGCACAGUGCCUUUCAUCAUGAUAACUGGUAGUGGGAGGUGGAUACCACCACCUCUACCAACACCUAAAGGAGCUGAGCAUGAAAAAGAAUCUGGGAGCACAUUUGCUGCUGGAAGAAGCAGGCGUGUGGAGGUUGAAAGGACAUUGACUGAUGCUCAGAGGGAUGAAUUUGAGGAUAUGCUCCGGUCAUUGACACUAGAAAGAAGUCAAAUAAAAGAAGCGAUGGGUUUUGCUUUGGACAAUGCUGAUGCUGCUGGAGAGGUUGUUGAAGUUUUGACAGAGUCUUUGACCCUCAAGGAAACUCCAAUACCAACAAAAGUUUCUAGGCUCAUGCUUGUCUCUGAUAUUCUUCAUAAUAGUAGUGCUCCUGUGAAGAAUGCAUCUGCUUAUCGCACCAAAUUUGAAGCCUCUUUACCAGACAUAAUGGAAAGCUUCAAUGAUCUAUACCGAAGUAUAACAGGACGAAUAACUGCCGAGGCACUUAAAGAAAGAGUGCUGAAAGUGCUUCAAGUGUGGGCUGAUUGGUUUUUGUUUUCUGAUGCCUAUGUUAAUGGUUUACGAGCAACCUUUCUUCGAACCGGGAACUCUGGUGUGAUCCCAUUUCAUUCUCUGUGUGGUGAUGCACCUGAAGUAGAACAAAAGACCAGUUCUGAUGAUGCAGGUGAUGGCGGUAAGAUUAACCCGGAUGGUGCUUUGGCAAUUGGGAAAGGAGCUGCAACGAAGGAACUGUUGAGCCUUCCCCUUACUGAGCUAGAAAGACGAUGCAGGCACAAUGGUUUGUCUAUUGUAGGCGGUAGGGAAAUGAUGGUUGCUCGGUUACUUUAUCUGGAAGAGGCUGAAAAGCUGAGAGGUCAUGAACUAGAUGAAGAUUUGAAAUUUGUGGGCCAUUCAAGUUCUGUUAGGUUCCCAAGCAGCCGGAAAGAUAGCAACCUUGAGUUGGAUAGAAGUGCUCCUUCUGCAUGGAAUAGUCAAGUGGAUUAUGACGUGCAACUCAAACAAAGAGACUCUGUAUCUUCACCCCCAACUAUUUCUGUUCUACAGCAUAAUUCAAUUGACUUUUCCAGUGAGGGCAAAAAUGACACAAUUUUGCCUACAUCUAAAUGGGCCAGGGAGGAUGACGAAAGUGAUGAUGAACAAAAGAGAAGUUCGAGGGACCUGGGGUUGACAUAUUCAUCAUCUGGAAGUGAGAACGCUGGUGAUGGCCUUAGCAAGAUCAAGGAUACAGAGCUUACAACAGACACAAGCAAUUCAGCAUACCCGGAAAGUGGAAUGAACGAAGAAUUGAGACAAAAGCUGAGGCGUCUAGAGGUUGCAUUGAUUGAAUAUCGUGAAUCUCUAGAAGAGCGAGGAAUAAAAAGUUCAGAUGAAAUUGAGAGGAAAGUUGAAAUCCAUCGGCAACUUCUACAAUCUGAAUUUGGUUUAUUGAAUUUCAGUGAAGAUAAUUCCAAAAAAGUUCUCGGAUGCUUUGGGGUUGAUAUAUAUCUGAACUUUAUGGUAAACAAUAGCUGAAGCAGGACGGUGGUUUAAUUGCUCAAAUUAUAUUUACUGUUUUCAACAGCGCUAUCAGACAUUCUCUGGAUUACAUGUUACUGAGCUGCUGCUUAGGAGACUGUAUUUUUCCUAAACUGUGUCUGUUAGUUCAAGAAAUUGUAGUGGAAUGAGGCAAAUGACACAUCAGAUAUGUUAGCACUUAGUGAGAAUUUAGCUAUCACAGUAAUCUGUUGUGGAUGCAAUAACCUUUUGAUAAUACUUUUUCUUGGCAUCUAUGAGAUGUAUCACUCUUUGCUGGAUAAAGUUGGUUAUCUUCAUAUUUACGAGAAGAUUAGGUAUCUGGUGCCCCUAGGGUUUUGGUUCGGUGGUAAGAGCAUAGCUUGAGGCAUGGAUUAGGCACAUACAAUGAGCCCAAGCUCUGCUGCAGACUAAAGCUUGGUGUUUAAGUGGAGAACAUUAGAGUAAUUUGAACCAAGCGCUAGCUGAUUCUCGGAGAUUGCUCGGUUAUUGGAAAAAAUGAAAAGAAAAAGAAGAGAAGAUUAGGUAUCUGGUUGAGCAGGAUACUGGACAGGGAAGCUUUUAUUAGCUGUAAAUAUUGCGCAUAGAAAGGCCACUUGACUGCCUCCCUUCUAUACAUUGUCAUCACUCUUUUCAUGGCAGGUAGGUCAUCUUUGGAGCGGAGAGAGAAAAGAGACGAUUCUCGUGAAGCUUCAAGGAAGCGCCAACGGAGCCGCAGCAGAAGUGGAAGCCCUCAGUGGAAAUCUUC